GUGCUUGAUUUGGCAGCACAUAUACUAAAAUUGGAACGAUGCAGAAAAGAUUAGUAUGGUCCUUGUGCAAGAAUGACAUACAAAUUCAUGAAAAUUUUUAAUGCGUU